rnacentral:rRNA from 1 species
AACGAACGCUGGCGGCAUGCCUAACACAUGCAAGUCGAACGAUGCCUUCGGGCAUAGUGACGCACGGGUGCGUAACGCGUGGGAAUCUGCCUUUCGGUUCGGAAUAACUCAGGGAAACUUGAGCUAAUACCGGAUAACGUCGCAAGACCAAAGAUUUAUCACCGAAAGAUGAGCCCGCGUAGGAUUAGCUAGUUGGUGAGGUAAAGGCUCACCAAGGCGACGAUCCUUAGCUGGUCUGAGAGGAUGAUCAGCCACACUGGGACUGAGACACGGCCCAGACUCCUACGGGAGGCAGCAGUGGGGAAUAUUGGACAAUGGGCGAAAGCCUGAUCCAGCAAUGCCGCGUGAGUGAUGAAGGCCUUAGGGUUGUAAAGCUCUUUUACCCGGGAAGAUAAUGACGGUACCGGGAGAAUAAGCCCCGGCUAACUCCGUG